GUCUCCGUGGCGCAAUUGGUUAGCGCGUCUGACUGUUAAUCAGAAAGUUGGUUCAAUCAGGAGGUUGGAAGUUCGAGCCUUCCCGGGGACG